AUUAUGUUUCACAUCAUUAAGGAGGCAAUGCAUGGAGACCGUAAAGCUAAUUUUCAGUCCAACUAUCAGAACACAUUAUGUUUUUAUUUUUAUCACAGGUAUUGCAGCAUCCUCUGUGACUGCGUGUUCUGACCUCCAGAAACGUUUGAUCCGUAAUGUUUUAGAGACAAUGAAGUAAAACCAACAUGUGCUCACCAACUAAUCAUCAGCACCACGUGUGCUUGGGCUGCUGCUCCUGCUGUCCAGGAUCUUCACCGGUGCAGUUUUCUGGGAUUAUAAACAGACCCUUUCAGAUGGCAUCUGCACAGGAGCAACACCGCAGCUCCUCCCGUGCCGUGCAUCUCCCUUCCCAGCAGGACCAACGCACAACGUGGCAGGAACGGGACUUCAGCCUUCCCUGGGCAAGUCAGAAGAGGACGGCUGCGUUCUGCAGGCGCUGUCUCGCUCAGUCCUAGCCCAGGAUCUGCCACUCUCUGCUCGAACCCCGGAGGCGUGCGGUCCCGGUGCCGUGCUGAUGCAGCGAAGGCGCUGGGCUGCGUUUGGUUCUGGAUGACUUCAUUAAGGUCACUUCCAAGCGUAGCAGAGCCGCCUCGUCCAUCUCCAGUCUGAGUUUUGCAAGGACCGUGUAUUUUAAUUAAAGACAUUUAAUUAGUCUGCCCAUAAUCUGUCAAAGCUCGCAUGCCGAGGCAUAAUUAAUGUAUUGAACCUCUACCUUGCAACUUCCAUUAUAUGCACGUUUCCAAAACAAAUCUGCACUUGUGUUUGAAGGGACAUUACAAUAACAGUUCUUAGCACUUCUUGUUACUAGAAUAACAGGAUUGUGCAUUUAUCAAGUGGCUUUCCCCCGAGGCUGUCCAAAGGGCAUCAGUAAGAUGUGUGUGUACUCAGCACCUUCCGAGAUUGAGCCACAAGCACACGAUCAAUAUUUAUAAAUUACACUUCAAACUUAAAGCUGUGUGGGGCUUCCUGGGGGGGUGGGUUAGGCUCUGUUUGGUUUCCAGUGGAAGCAAAACAGAUACUAAAGCCCUGAAUCUGAGUUACACUGAAAGCCAAAUUUUCAGUGCUUAAAAUUCCAAGACAAGCUCUCCCAAAUAGCUCAGCUCCCAUCUGGGAACCCAAAUAAGUGUUUAGAUUGUCAGAAUUGCUUAGCACACGGGGGCUGAGGCUUGGCUGAAAAUGUGCUUUCAGCUAUGGGUGAUCGUUGGCCAUUGGGACCGCCGGCUCUUCCUACAACUGAGUCACGUCGAUGUACUUUAACACGGCACAAUUAGGGCAAUAAGUUAAAUUAUAGGAACACAAGACCGUCAUGAUAAAGAUAGCAUGCUGUCCUUCGGAGAUACCUGGCUCAACGCGAGAGCACAGCCUGGGCUGCCAUGGGGAAGACAGAACAGAAAGCGUAUUUCAGCAGGGAGAUUGCUAAGUGAGCUAACCACUUGGAAUAUUGAAUGGUGGAAG
rnacentral:lncRNA from 1 species